rnacentral:rRNA from 1 species
UACGGAGGGGGCUAGCGUUGGUCGGAAUUACUGGGCGUAAAGCGCACGUAGGCGGCUUUGUAAGUUAGAGGUGAAAGCCUGGGGCUCAACUCCAGAAUUGCCUUUAAGACUGCAUCGCUUGAAUCGCGGAGAGGUGAGUGGAAUUCCGAGUGUAGAGGUGAAAUUCGUAGAUAUUCGGAAGAACACCAGUGGCGAAGGCGGCUCACUGGACGCGUAUUGACGCUGAGGUGCGAAAGCGUGGGGAGCAAACAGG